rnacentral:rRNA from 1 species
AGGACGAACGCUGGCGGCGUGCUUAACACAUGCAAGUCGAGCGGAAAGGCCCUUCGGGGUACUCGAGCGGCGAACGGGUGAGUAACACGUGAGCAACCUGCCCUUAGCUUCGGGAUAGCUCCGGGAAACCGGAAUUAAUACCGGAUAUGACUAUGGCCGACAUCAGCCAUGGUGGAAAGUUUUUCGGCUAGGGAUGGACUCGCGGCCUAUCAGCUAGUUGGUGAGGUAACGGCUCACCAAGGCGACGACGGGUAGCCGGCCUGAGAGGGCGACCGGCCACACUGGGACUGAGACACGGCCCAGACUCCUACGGGAGGCAGCAGUGGGGAAUAUUGCGCAAUGGGCGAAAGCCUGACGCAGCGACGCCGCGUGGGGAUGAAUGCCUUCGGGUUGUAAACCCCUUUCAGCAGGGACGAAGCGAAGUGACGGUACCUGCAGAAGAAGCGCCGGCUAACUACGUGCCAGCAGCCGC